rnacentral:lncRNA from 1 species
CACAGCGCAGGAGCUCUCAGACUACCUCAGAUGCCAAGAGCCUGGUUUGAAUACAAGCCUUGCCAUUGUGUGACUUUGGGCCAGUGUUUCCAGCCAUCAUGUCAGAGCUGAGUGGAGUGGCACUGGGUGCCAAGGCAAACACCCAGCCCAGCUGUGCUGGGAAGAACUGAGCUCCAAUGUGUCUUGUGACCCAGCUCCUCCCACCCACCUGGCUGUGUCUCCUAUCCUGCAGAGAUUUCUGGGGGCUGUUUCCAGUAAACAGAGUGCCAGCACCCACUAACCUGUAAAUAGCACCUUGUUCAGGGGGAGUGAUAUUCUUUGGUAAGUGACCGUAAACUGAUUAUACCAAGUCCUUCAAUGGAGAGAUGGUGGUUAAAAAGCAAAACUGAGGCUGGUAAAUUUUUACCAUUUCUUUGUAGACUGUAUGAUUUGGGGCCUUGCUGCUCAAAAUGUGGUCAGCAGCAUUGACAUCACCUGGGAUCUCAUUACAAAUGCAGAAUCUCAGACCUCACUCCAGAUGUGCUGGAUGAGAAUGGCCAUUUUCACAAGCUCCCCAGGAUAUGUGUGCCUGUUAAAGUUUGAGAAGCACUGAUCGGAGGACUUCGGUUAUAAUCCCACCUCCUUCUAUAAGUGAUUAAAGAAAAUUCACUUAUACUCUCCUUUGAACAGCUGUAUGCUUCUCAAUUUCUCUCUCUCUCUCUCUCUCUCACACACACACACACACACACACACUUUAUUUUUCAAUCUCUAUAGACUUGCUUCUUUGUAAGGCUCUCAAUUUCUCCUCCCCAGUGACACAAGCUUGCAUGUGGAUAUAGCUCGUCAUGGUGCCUAUUUAUCUUCAACUUUAUGCAACCUUAGCACUCUUUUACUCAGAAACCUUUUGACUGGGAGAGCAGGGCAAACUCAAAUCCCUACAGAGACCAGGAAGGCAGCAUGGAUGAGUGCAGAAAGCUACAUUUGUUUCAGAAAGGAAUCAGUGUAUAUUCUUUCAGCAGACACAUUUAGUUUGUUUCUUAUAAGCCACUAGAAGAGUCAUUACUUUCACAAAGUCAUAUGCUUAUUCCCAUUUUUCAUAAAAUAUGGCCUAUCUUCAGUUUUCCCAGUUUUGAUACAGAAAAAAAUAUAAGAAAGAUUUUCUAUUUCCUAUAACUAUAAAAGCCCACUAAUAGCACCAGCACAGCCACCCCUGGGCUUCACACAGGGAGUGGCAGGAGCUGUGCAGAUGGAGAGUGCAUACUGGUGUGAAGGGGGCAAUGGAUCUCAGCUCCAGCCAUUGUCUUCAUGCAGGAAUUUGGGACCAUUUUACCGGAUCCUCCCAUUUCUUCAAGAGAAGCCGGAAAUCUGGAUUUCUAUGUGAAAUCUCCCACUUUUUUAUGCUGGCAACUAAUUUUCUUUAAACACUGUGCCAAACAAAACAUACCUGCAGGCCAAAAUCUACACCCUCUGGGCUGGAUUUCAAUGUCUCUUAAACUCUCAACAGAGAGCAUCUUACUGUUUCAGUUCAGGGUAGAUGUCUACCCAUGGUCCCAUCGAGUGGGGUCUGGAUAUGGAAUCAGCUAGAAGAAGCAUAGUCUAUGCCCAUUCUUUCAGCAGGGACUGUGGGCAGGAAACCAUUUCCAAAGAAGCAGGCAUGAGUUGGUGGCCAUACAAAUAUAUAUGUUAUAUUGAUAAAUAUAAAAACAGGAGAUUCUGGGGGACCACAAGUUUUUACAAAUUAGGCUUAUUUUAGGAUAAAUUCACCCUUGUUAGUGUGCAGUUCUGUGAGUUUUGAUAUACAUAUGCAGUCAAGUAACCACUCCCACAAUUAAGAUACAGAAUAAUUCCAUCACCCCCCAAAUUUCUUGUAUGCCCCUUUAUAGCUAGCCCCUGACCCUAACCUCUGGCAAUCACUAAUAUAUUCUCUUUUUCUAUAGGCUUGCUUUUUUUCAAAAUGUCAUAUACAUGGAAUCACACAGUUUAUAGCCUUUUGAGUCUGGCUUAUUUUACUCAGCAUAAUGCCUUUGAGCUUUAACCAUGUAAUUUCAUGUAUCAGUAGUUCAUUCCUAUGUAUUGCUAAGUAAUUUUCCACUGUAUAGAUGCACCACAGUUUGUUUAUCCAUUCACCAAUUAAAGCCAUAAUCAACUUCCAUGUAGAAGUUUGUGUGUGAACACAGUUUUAAUUUAUUUGGGGUUACUACCUAGGAGUGAGAUUCUGGGUCUUAUGGUAAGCAUACAUUUUACUAAGAAACUAUAAAACUCUUUUCCAAAGUGGCUGAACCAUUUGACAUUUCUAACAGCAAUAUUUGAAAGUUCCCAUUGCUCUGUAUCCUCUCCAGUACUUACAUGCUCAGCAUUUUGGUUUGGUCUGGUUUCAUUGUUUCUGAGCUCUUCUGAUAGAUGUGGAGUACACCCCCAUUUUGGAUGAAUUGUGCCAAAUGUGUAGACCAUCCUCAAAAUCUAAGGUCUCAGUAAAAACAAUUAAACAUGAUUUCUGAUAUAAUGUCUUAUCCUUGAAAACCCUGACCCAUCCAUCUUCAGCACAUUCACAUGUGUAAUAAGGUAAGUGAUUUUUAAUUCCACCAGGUUUAAAGACCCCUGACGUGACUUAUUGCCAUUCUGCUACUGAGCCUUGAGAGAUUAUGGUAAGUGCCAAGAAAAAAAAAAUGACUUUGAACUGCUCUUUCACCAGUUAAAAAUAACACUGAAACCAAAUGUAAACAUAAAAGAAGUGGUCAGAUUCGGGUUACAUAUUAACGGUGUUUGGUCAGGCUGGAGCUGAGGCACAGCAGCAGAGAAUGCCUUUUACUUAUCACUGUUUCCAAACCUCCCUACCUGGACUAGGCUUGACUGGAUUUACAAGAGACCUUUUGAAAAGAUGCAGAGAAGGCAAGCAGCACACAUUUCCUGGUAAUAAAUUUUAAAGGUUGCUAAAACAUUCCAGAGAUUUUCACUCAACAUUCCUCUGGCCAACACAUCUGCAAUCUGCCAAUCCUUAAAAAUAGGUGUUUUUGCAUUUUAAUCUCACAAACAUCUUUGAAAAUGCAUUUCUUCUCUGCCCCUGUGUUGGACAAAUCCAGCUUUUUCCAUUUUCUAAAAACCACAGAAAUAUAAUGCUGCUUAAUUCAUACAAGACUGAGCUAACUGGAGUUAAAAUAAAAUUUCUGAGAGUUUGUUUGGCUCACUCUUCCCUACCAGAUGAUUCCAUUCUUAAAACGGUCCUGUGAUUAUAUUCUCUCAUUACAGAGGUGUCCAGAAAAAAAAUAAGGAGUGCAGUUCUGAAAUUAUAUAAAAGCAAAAUUAUUACUCUAAACGUAAGAGCUGUGAUAGAUCGUGUCAUUGACCAUGGUUCUUUUCCCCUGACACACACGUCCCCACCACCCACCCACUGUAUCCAUAUGCCUUUUGCCAUAUGACUUUGCAGCUCUCCCCACUAAAGGGGCAGCCAUGCGAUUUGCUUUGGCCAAUGAAAUGAGGCAGUAGUGGUGGUAUCCUAGUUCUGAGCCUAGGUCUCAAGAAGUCUUAUGUGUUUCUGCUUAUCCUCUUAUACCUCUGCCAUCACCAUGAGCCAAACAUCCCCCAAGUAGCCCACUGGUCCCAGGACAAGGAGGGAGACAUGAAGCAGAGCUCAUCCAGCUGCUGCAGCCCCACUUGACCCAGAGACCUACACUGGGAAGCAGAGCUGCCCAGUCAAGUCCAACCUGGAUGUGUGGAACCCCAGCCAACCUGAUGCAUGAGCACUCACGGCAUUGGAAGACAUCAUAAACAUUAAUGGAGAGCGGGAUGCCAGAAUAAGUUGAUCCAAAUGAUGCAGGAAUAUUUAGCAGCAAGGAGAAAGGAAUUCACAUUUCUCAGUACCCACUAUGUGCCAUACUUUGUGAUAAGAUGGUUUCCCUCCAAUAUAUCCUCAUUGUCAGCAAUGUCGGGAAACAGGAAUCAUUUCCCCUUCUACAGGUGAUAAAACUGAAGCAAGAAACAUACAGGCUAACAUCAGCUGAGCUGAGAUUUGAACUCCACUCUUUUUGACCCUGGAGCUGAUGAAUGCUGCUUCUAGAGGUUGAGUAUCCCUUAUCCGAAAUCCUUGGAACCAGGAGAUUUUUGGAUUUGGGAAUAUUUGCAUAUACAUAAUGAGAUAUCUUGGAGAUGGGACCCAAGUCUAAAUACAAAAUUAUUUUGUUGUAUAUACACCUUGUACACAUAGACUGAAGAUAAUUUUAUACAAUAUUUUAAAUAAUUUUGUGCGUGAAACAAAGUUGUGACUAUGUCUUGACUGUAAGACAUCUUGCAUGCAACCCAUCAUAUGAGGUCAGGUGCAGAAUUUUCCAUUUGUGGUGUCAUGUUAGUGCUCAAAAAUUUUCGGAUUUUGGAGCACUUCAGACUUUCGUUUUCCAGACGGGGGAUGCUCAACCUGUCUUAGAACCUGUGGUCUCCCAUCAUGCCUCCCUUCCCCAUUCCCUUGCUCCACUGGGGUCUGAGGUGGGAAAGCAAAAGGAGUUGCAGGUAACCCUCACUUUUCACACCAGGCAAUCUCUCCCCACAAUCUGUCACAUUCCUGAAGAACAAGGAAGCAGAGCACUCCACUGAAGAAAUUCUGUUAAAAUCUAUCCCCAACGUAUAAGCAUCCAUCUUUGUCCCAGUCUGGGUCUAACAUGAACAAAGUGCUUAAACAAUUCAGUAGAGGAGAAAGGGAACUUGGAGCAGCUCUGUCACCCUGAAGUGACACUGCCAUGCUGCAUUUCCUGUCUGUAAUAUCUCUUCAGAGCAAUUGUUUUCUUCUGUGAGGACACUUCAGAGAUUCACAGAGACAGAUGCUCUUGUGACUGACCAUAGCAAGUAUCAAAAGGCCUGGGUGGAAUUACGAAGCAUUUCUCGUGCACUGCGUAUUGGGAAGUGCUUCACAGCUGUGUGGCAGAUGUGAGUGGACAGAGGGGCAAGGGAACUGCCCCAAAGGAGGUGGCAGAGGAAGCAACAAGCCAGGGAUUGGCUGGCCGGUCCCAGCACAGCAACUGCAGCAGCAGCUUGCUAAGUUUCACAGGUGAAGCCAAAGGCUGGGGGGAAUGGAAAACAAAUAUCACUCCAUUAAAUUAAGGUCUGAGGAAAACAUGAUGAGGAAAGUCAAUAGUGAAUCAAAACAUUGAAAAGCCACUAACUUUGACUUUCCAUGUGCGUGUGCAAGUUCACGUGUGCAUGUGUGUCUGCAUGUCCAAGUUCUACACUGAUUCAAGAAAUAAUUAUAGAGGGCCUGCCAUAGGAUGGUGAGCAAAACAGUCUUGGCCUCUGUCCUGAUGGAGCAUGCAGUAUCACAGACUCUAUAUGUUCUAUUUCUAGGCCUUGUAUUUUGAGGAUAUAUGCCAGUGGAAUGAGAAUGGCUCUGUGACCUUGUUUAAGUCCCACCACUGUCUCAGGCAGGGUUUUCCAAAGUGUAGUCCUUAUACUAUUAUGUGGUGAAGAUGCUUAAUUGUUUUGUAAUUAUUUAAUGUGCGUAGGUAUCACAUCAAACCCAGUAUUUUCAAGGAUUUUUAUAGCUUAAGACAAGGCUUGUUAUAGGCAAGGUGGAUCAAUUCAAAAAAUAUAUGCUAACAAAAUAAUAGUGGAGGUGGUACAAAGAAACAGCAAAGGUAGUGAGAUGGCUUCACUGGUGUUUGUGAAUCACCAAGAUAAUGCACGUGGAAAUAAAAAUCAGUGUGGUCCAUAGAAAUACAAGGGGUUCUAAUUACCCCUCAGUGAGCACUUGCUCUCUCACUCACCCCAGCAAUGACAUAUUAAGCAAAGCACUGCCCUGACUGCAUAUGCUCUUGCCGACAACUUGGCCAGCAUUCAGAAGACACUAAGUGUGCUCUGGGAACUUCAGAAGGCACUAACAUUCCAUGGAGAACUUCACAAAGAGUGAGACCUAGUCCCUGGCCUAAAGAGAGUAUAAUUUAGUAGGAAAGAGAAGACAAACACACAAAUAACUGUAAAAUGGGAUAAGCCCCAAAGUGGAGGUACAAAGUCCCAUAGAAGAGGCUCAAUGAUAAGUCACGCCUGCCGGGUAAGGUCAAGAAAGACUUCAUGGAGAUUUGAGAUGGCAUCUGAGAUAAGCCAGGAAAGACGGUAGAAUUUCAACAACCAAAAAAGUGGGGAGAGGGAUGGGAGGCAUUCCAGAGAAGGAGAAAUGCUUGAGCAAUGGUACAGAGACCAGGAAGUUAUAUGAGGGCAGAAAGUCCCUGCUGUCUAUUUAGCUGGGAUAUAGAAUGCAAGUCAGUUAGAUGAUUAGGUGGGGUUAUAACAUAACUAGCCUUAAAUAGUGGACUGAGAAUUUUCCACUUAAUUUAAUGCAAAUGGCAGGGGAGGGGGCAGGCAAUGGAGAGCUGAAAACAGGACUGGAGAUGCGCUGGAGGGAAGUAACCCUGGAAAUGGGUGAAGUACGGGUUACUGUCACCCCAGCUCUGGUUCUUGUUAUUCCCUAGGAGAAGCAUAAUAGAAGUGUGAAUUUAGGGUAGCCAAAUGAUGACUUUGCAGAGGGAAUCUUUAGGACUUGUGACUUGAUUAAAAGCAGGGAGAUGGAUAGGGAACGUCCAAGGAUAACUAGAUAACUAGAGCUCUCCUGUUCCUCUGACUCAUGUGUGCUGAAACUGUAGAGUCAAACAAACACUUGUAAGUGGCGUGAUGUAAAUCCCUUAGGGGCCCAUGCCUGCCUCAAGAGAAGAACGUGUGGUCAGGAAAAACGACCGGGGGAAGUGAAAACGACACAAGACCCAGAGGAUAACCCUUAUUUUAUUCACACAUGCAAAUUUAGGCACAGCAAAAAGCAAAACGAAGUAUACCAAAUGUCAAGGGUUAAUUAUUAAUCAUUUCUAUAUUAAAUUAUGAGUUUUUCAGUAAGACACUUUUUGAUAAGAAACUUGAAUUACGUUCAUAACCAUCAAAAUAAAGAAAAUAAAAGAGACAGAUUUUCUUUGGUGGUGGGAGAACAUUAAGUAUUGUGGAAGCCUGAAAAAUGGUCCCCAAAAGAAUCUGGUCCUAAUCCUUAGAACUUGUGAGUAUUAUCUUACUUGGAAAAAGGGUUGUUUUAAGAUAAGGAUCUUGAGUUGGGAAGAUUGUCCUGAGUUAUUCAGGUAGGCUGUAAAUGCCAUCACAGGCAACCUUUUUACAUGGAUAUUUGACACAGAGUGGAGGAGACACCCAUAGGAGAAGGCUAUGUGAAGACAUAGCAUCGAGACACUUGAAGAUAUUGGCCUUCAAAUGGCACAGCCACAAGCAAAGGAAUGCCAGCAGCCACCAGGAAAAAGCAAAGAAUGGAUUCUCACCUAAAGUCUCCAGAGGGACUGUAGAGUAUCCUGCCAACACCUUGAUUUUGACUCUGUGAAACUGAUGUCAGGCUUCUGGCCUCCAGAACUGUGAGAGAAGAAAUUUCUGUUGUUUUAAACCUUCGAAUUUGUGGUAAUGUGUUAGAGCAGCCACAGGAAACUCAUAUUCUAAACUAGCAACUAUGAAAUGAGAAUUUCUAGUGUUCAGCUAAGAUACCACCGCAGAAGCAGCUGGAUAAUAUCAGAUGAGCCGAAAACUUCUCUUACCCCAUUUCCUUAUCCAUAAAAUUAGCAAAUAAUACCUGUCUUGCAGAGUUAAUUUUAAAGUUAUACAAGUAAAUACACUUUGAAAGUGACAAGUACUAGAAAAAUGUAGGGAAUUAUCCUACAAGUCUGGGUAUCCCCACCACCCAAGGCACAUGAAUGAUGCACAAUAAAAUAUACAAUUGGUUAGAAAUAGAACAAAGUGUUGAAAGUGCUUCAAAGCUCGAAAUGUAGGGCAUGAGGAAUGAAGGAAAUUCAGUUCAGGAAUAAAAUAUUUAUUCAGCAUCACUAAUAAGCCAGGCACUCUGCCAGAACCCAAAGGUAUAAAGAGGAACAAAUGAUAAUUCCUGCCCUGUGGAUGGCUUAUAGUCUAGGGUAGCAUUUUUACAGUGUGUUCACAGACCACUAAGCUCUCAAAUUUCUAUUUAAAGAUGCCAAAGGACCCAAGAUCAAGUGCUAUAUUCUAAUAUCUACCCUCUCCAUUUCCUACCCCCUCCCACAACCACACUUUCUGUAGACUCACAAUGUGUUAGUUAAUUUAAGGCAUUGAGUCCUGUUGUUAAUAAGCUGACUUGCCCUUAAUUAUCACAGGCUUUUCCAAAUUUCCUUGACAUGCACUAACCAUUUAACCUUGGGGAAAAGAAUGGAAUAACAUUCUUGCCUGCCUGUUGUAGCUGUCAUCAUAUUUAAAUGUAAUAAAACAUGGAAAGUGUUUAAUAAUUAUGGUGCUCUAGGCAAAAUAGCAGUCCUUCAAAAAUGCCCAUGCCCUAAUCUCCAGAACCUGUGAAUAUGUUACCUGACAUUGUAAAGCAACCUUGUAGGUGUGAUUAAAGUUACAAGCUCUGAGAAGAGAAAAUUACUCUGGAUUAUCUGGGUGGGCCCAGCUUAAUCAUAUGAACCCUUAAAAGUGGAGAAUGUUUUCCAGCUAAGGUCAGAGAAAGAGACUUGACAAAGGAAGAAGGGUCAUAGGGAUGUGAUACCGCUAGCUUUAGAGAUGAAGGAAGAGGACCACAGCCAAGAAAUGUGGGUAGCCUCUGAACACAAUACAAGGCAAGGACACGGGCUCUCUCCUUGAGCCUCUAGAAGGAGCACAGCCAUAAGGCAUUCUUAAACUAUGUCGCUUACCUUACCUACCUCAUCCACUUACUACUUGUAUGGCUAAUGGCAUGAGGAAGUCACUAAAACUCUCCGAGCCUUCCUGGCCUCCACUUAAAUGGGAGUGGUACCCACAGAGGGUCAGGAGGCUCAAUCAAAUCUCAAAUUCAUUAUCUCUUGCUUCUCAUGCACAAGUCAGUGUCAGCAGGAGGCAUCAGUGCUUCUGCAAAAAUAACUAAUUCAACAUUACUUUGUCAGAUCACAACCCUUCUUUGCUAAAACCUUCCAGAGGCUCCCUGUCUCACUCACAGAACAACCUCAUGGACUUCCUCUGUUCUCAGGAUUCUCAUGACACAAUAUGACCCCAUUUCCUCUGACUAUAGGUCCUUCCUCUCUCCCCCUUCCUGAUGGUGCUCCAGCCAUACUGGCCACCUUGCUGUUCCUGAGGCACACCAGGCAGCUUCCAGCCUCAGGACAUUUGCACUUGCUGUUUUCUCUGCUUAGAGCCCUCUUCCCCCAUAUCCACAUAGCUUGCUCCCUCAACUCCUUUAGAUCUUCAUUCGGCUAUUACCUUCUUCCUGAGGCCUUCCCUAACAACCCUAUGAAAAUUGCAAUACCUGCCAGCCAAACAUUCCCCAUCCUCCCUUCACUUUAAUUUCCGCCAUAGUAAUUUCAUCUUCUCACAUGCUGCAUAUUUAACUGUUUUGUUUACUUUCUUUCCUCCAUUGGAAUAUAAGCUCUAUCAGGGCUUUUCAUGAAGGACAUGCAAGUAGAUGCUUGAUAAAUAUUUGUUGGAUAAAUAAAUCAGUGCAUAUACCAAUCUGAAGUCACAAAAUCAAUAUGAGCAUCACCUUCCACUAAAGACAUAUCCUUUCAGUUAUCGAUGAAAAAUGAAGUUGAAAACACAAUAAUCAGCCUGUCAUUGAACAAUGCAGCUGCAGCUAAGAUCAAGUUCUUGACUGACUUUGCCGAGCCCAACCAAUUCAAAGGAAGAAUAAAAACAUGGUCAAGGGACCCAAGACCCAGCUCUUAUCCCCUACUCAGAGAAAACCCAGAGAGAACCAGCCUUCUGAUGUCUUGUCCUUCCUGGUUUUGACCAACCUCUAAAAACCAUAAGAACAGUUUGUCUCAGUAUUUCAGUACUUCCGCUUCCAGGCCCAGGAAAGAGCAGGAAGUGCAGGGGCGUGUGAAAAUCAAGAAAAAAGAAGAAUUAAACCCGCUACACAUGAAGCGCUCAAAGACUUCCUCUGUAACCUGUUGCAGCACACGAGUUUCAAUGUGCUUUCACUGAGAGCCCAGGGGGACUGUGCUGUCCCCAGAAUUUCGCACCAUGCCCCACACUCUCAAUGAACACUUGUUGCCUAAAAAAAAAAAAUUAAAUUUUAAGACCUUCAGUUUCUCUAUUUGUAUAAAGUGAUUAUAAAACCUACCUUAUGGAGCUGUCUGAUGAUCACAUAUGAAAUCGCAUAUGUUAAGUGCUUAUGCAGCGUCUGGCACAUGAUCAGCAUUAAUUUUAUGUGAACUGCCAUUUUGAUGGCAGUGGUGGCGAUCUGAUGGUGGAGGAGGUUUAGUUAGCGCUGGGUAGAUUGUAACAUAUACCUAUCCUUAAUGAUUUGUUCAACCUGGAAUUUUGGACGGAGCCUGGGCCUGAGGAGUUGAACCUUAGAGUGAUCCAUUUCUCUUGGAAAAGUCCUGUUCAGUUUGAGCAAGAAACUCUGGAAAGGGGAAGGAUGUAUUUUAAUCCCAGCUACCAGGGUGACAGGCAGCAGAACUGAAACAGCAUGACUAAGCACAGACCAUCUCCUUUCAUUACAUGGGGGGCUGAGGUCUUUCCUCUCUACUGCCAGGGACUGGAGAAAGGAAAGAUACCCAGUUUAAUUGCAUCUGAUAAACGGAUAGUAAAGUCCAAGAGUAGACAAUUGGAAUAUUUCCCCAGCCUUUUUCCUGUUAGGUUCUCAAAGCUAGAAAAAAAAUGCUGAAUGUCUUUUCCCUAACUUCAUAUCGCCAUAUGAAGCCCAGCUAAGUUUCCCUUGAAGUUCACUAGCCCAUUUCCUCUGUAGGUCUACAGGGGCCACCUGCCAAUGUGCAGGGAUUAAAUGAAGAAAUAAAGACCUAAGGCCUUUCUAGAAGCUAAAAACCCUAGGACUCCCUAAACACUUUGGAGUUGCAGCUCCCAUUGGUUAAGAGGUAUGGAUCGCAUAGUUUCAAGCUGAGCCAUGCUUUUCGGAAUACUCUGCUUUUUCUCAUCUUUUUCCACUAUAGUAAUACUAUAAAUGAGAUCUCUUCCAGAAAUAAAGGCAGAAAGCCCCAAGCUCGAUGCUAAAGAUGUUUGUGACAGAGUUCUGCAAGAAUAGGAUAUUUGCAGUCUCGUCUGCGAUAAUCAUUUCAGAAGUGGCUGCUGAUACUGGUAGGUAUGCAGUCAGCAAUUGUGGUGGAAACGGGGAAUGUCUGCUCAAAGAGACAGAAUGUGCAAUGACUCAAAUGAUUUCCAGCAAUUGUCAAUACUAUUUGAUGUUAGUCAUUUAUGCUACCUUUUUCUUAUUUAUAGAUUCCUAGCUUUAAAUUAACCUCCCUGAUAUAUGGAAGUAAUUUGGUCAGUAAUAAGUUCCUUUGUUUUGGGUUUUUUGUUGUUUUUUUUUUUUAGGACUAUGUGGCAGAGGAGACUCCUGACUUUCACUUCUCUAAAUAACCAACAACUCCUCACUGUCCCUGUGUAAAGCUAUCAUGGCUGUGGGGAAGGAGAGACACUUCAAGGACAGCUCAGAGCAAAGUACCAGUUUAAAAUCUUCUCACGAGAAGAGCAGCAUCCUUCACUCAUUUGUCCUUUCACUGAGGGUGCACUACAUGUACUCACUGUGCUAGAUAUUGGGAAUACAGGGCUGAGUGAGACAUGGGCAGACUCCCUGAGAGGUAACACUCAGACUACAUCUCAAAGGAUAACUAGAUAUCCGCCAAUCAAGAUGGAGCAGCAGGCCAGGUAUACAGGCUCAGCAUCACUUUGGGCGUUGCUUUAUCUUAAAAAGCUGCCUGAACCACUUAAAGGGACCCACUGCUGCCUUCAAAAGAGUACAGUGAUAUGCAUCUUCCUGAGGUCUUUCUAAGCCACUUCUGGAGCUAGAUAUAUGUUUCUCAGAUGUCUCUGAAACAAGGUUUCCAGGCAACUACAUCUGAGGCCAUUGGUGCUGCAAUAUGACUGAAAGGAAAGAGGGUGUGUACUUCAACAGCCUUGCUGUAAGCAAGGUGGCUUCAUCCCCUCCCCCCACCUGAAAUUGAGAAACACAGAAGUGACCACAGUCCUAGGCCACUGUGUGCAAAAAUGGGAAAUGUCACUCAUCAGGUCCUCUCCCACGUUUAACCAGAAUCAUCAGCCUAUAGAUUCGGGAACUGAGUGGCUUGACCAUUUUGCACGUAAGCCAUAUGCAAUUGGUCCAAAGGAGACCAGUGAGCAACAAUUCAAUUUAGAGUUCACUGAACUCUCUGGUUUGGGAAGGAAAUUGCUAGUAAUCAAUUGCAGCAAGCAUACAGGCUCAGGGCCAGGAAGAGAAAAAUCACUUUAAUGGGCAAAGCAGAUGUUGCUAAAUUCAUUGCAAAAGUGAGAUGGGCACAGAGCCAGGCCUUGCAUGAGAGAUGCUGAUCUGUUCUCCUGAAUGAACAAAACAGAGACAUUUCAAAAAGGGGGGUUUCUAUGAAAGAAGCCAGAGGUCUGUGUCCCUGUUAGAGUAAAUAAAAGAAAAUGCACCCAGGUGUUCAGGUCCCCCAUACCACCACAGGACUUAAAGUUGUUAACAUCUUACGAGGAUUUUUAAACAAAUCCAGAAUACUAGCAAAAACUGCCUGGGGAGUCUUCAUUCGGUUCUAAGGAGAGUAUGUGGUAGAGUAGAGAGAACACGGGCUUUGGCAUCAGAUCUGUUUCUUCCAUGAAUUAGUUGCUUCCACCACCAAGAAGUUGUAUGACUUGGGCAAAGUUCUUAACACCUCUCAGUCUCAGUUUCCUCCACUGUAAAAUGGGCCUAAUGUCAUUUACCUUAUUAGAGCAGUUGUGAGGACUAGUGAUAAUGUCUGUAAAGUAUGGUAGAGAAAUGCACUUAAGCAAUAACAUGUUUUCAGAACCAUGAAAAGACUAGUGACACUAGGAUGUGGGGAGAAUUGGUUAAUGACAGGGCAGGGUGGGGUGGGAUGGGGAGAAUUUCUGGCCCAAUAUUGACCAGCUUUGGCACGUGCUCUUGGUGAAGGAUUACUUCACAGGUCACAUGUUUCUUUGCAUGCUUAGGCUGAUAAAACAUCUCUCAAGAAUAUAAGAGCUCAGCAAGUGUAGGAGCAUAGCCCAAGAAAGGUCACUGUGUGUACUUAGAACAUUUUCAUGGAGUAGCUUCAAAUGCAAGCCUCCUAAAAGAGAGUUGAUUCUGAUUCCCCAAAUCUGAAAUGUUCUUUACUUACCUAAUUCCCACUCAUCCUUCAAGGCCCAACCAGAGUCCCUCCUCUGAGAAUCAUCCCAAAUUCCUCUGGAGCUCACCAUCUCUACCUACUCACAUAUUGCCCAGUUUAUAUCAGCUGCCUUCAAUCCUUCCUGGAACAAGACAUUAAUCCCAUUCAGUAAAAACUUUAAAUGCUACUUACUCAAUUCUUUGGCCUGUCAUAGUAAAGUGUCAUACACUGAUCAUCACCUGAAUCAUGUGGUUCUACCCCAAAUACUUAGCAACUUCCUAGAGUUUAGAUAUUGAACUUGCACUAAUUAAAAUCUCUAAAUCAGAAGGCAGAGAGAGCUGAGGGCUCUGACACUUGACUAGUUGUGUGAGCUUGGGCCAAGUUUCAUGGCCUUCUCAAGCCUUAGUUCUCUCAUCUGUAUACUGGAGAUAAUAAUAGCACCUUCCUCCUAGGACUUGUGUGAGACUUUCGUGAGCUCGGUCCUGCAAAGUGCUCAGCACUACAUUGUUAGCUGAGUAGUAACAGUCACUUUCCUGAAAGCUUCUUCACCCAGAGGGGCUAGCCCAUGCCUGUGCACAAAGAAUGUCAAAUUACAUUCACACCCCCUGAGAUUUCCAAGCUACAGGCCAUUUUCACAGUGGCCACUCUCCAGAAAGCUAAGUCCUGCUGAAAGUAUGUUUCCAAGUUGCCAUCACCUUUAGAAUAUUUCUGAUAAGCAAGCAAAACUGCCUGUGGCCUUUGGCAGUGAAUUUCUGGGGGCUGGUAAGAGGAGGAUGUUUACCAGAGCACAAAGGCCAGGUCAUAAGCAGAGAAUAUUUUGGCCCAGACAGAUCCCAGAGAAGGCAUUUUUGCCAAGCACAGACUCCAUUCUCAGGUCCUGAAGUCAGCAUUAGACACUAAACAAACCUUCCCGGGUUCACAUUUGUUUACUUUUGGCCAAAUGCAACUUCCUGUUUGAAAGGAAAAGGGCAGUAAAGCUUUCUAUAGCCUUCUUGGACAUAAAGGCUCUACUUGAAACAAUUGAUUUGCUAAGGAUAAAUGAAUCAAACGUACACAAUGGGGAUCUCCCCUCCCCUCAAAAUGUUCAUGUUUCAACAGGGAAAGUGCUCAACAAAACCAAAACAAAUAUUUUUUCAACUGCUGGCCAAUGAAGAUUGUUUAGGCCAUUUCUUCUCCUGAGAGCAAGAAAAACAGACAUCAGGAGAGAGCUGAGUUACAUGUGCUGUGUCAGAGAAGUCACUGCGACACACUUGGGGGUUGAGAUUUCAGUUACACAGAAAGUCACAAAGUUGAAGUUCCCACAGCCACUCAAACCACAUUCCCUAGCAUGAACACAGAACAACCAGCUCUUUCAUUACGUGACUACGUCCCAAACCACGUCCUUCAGGAUCCUGAAAUUCCCUCGGAUGCCCAUGCGCCCUGCACCUAGGUUUGAAAACUGACUACCAACCCCACAUAAAUCCACCAUAAGAUUUUACAAGGAUUCAAAAUAACUUACUCUGUGUGAGGAGGUGGGGGAUGGGGAGGGGAGGUCUGUACUUUUAGAGCAUCUAGCAAAGUUAGCAUAAAAUAUAGACUUUAACUUGGGUUUAUAUAUAAAAUGAAGGUGCUCUCUACAAAUCUUGAAUCUCCUUGUCAUAAAAUAUUAAAUUUGUAAAGGACCUUAAAAAUCUUCUGGUCAACCUCCCCCUAUACACAAAUAUAUAAAUAAUAUAGAUGAGGAGUAAAGAGGUCGGGAGACAUUUCCUCCUUAGACUGUAGACGUCUUGCUUCUUAGGGCAAGAACUAUUUUGCUUAUCUUCUUAUUCUUUAACACAGCAUGAACACAAUAAAGACUCAGGAAGAAAGUGACAAAUGAAGAAGUUAAUGAGCUGCCCUGGUCUGCAAAGUCAGGCUCAGCACACAGGACUCUCUCAAUGCUGUGCACUCUGCCCAGUCCUAUCCCUGUAUUUCCACUAGAUUGUAAUCUCCUUGAGGGCUGAAUAUGUCAUUUAUUUGUUUUUUUGGCCAUCAUACCCUGUGCAUUGAA